rnacentral:rRNA from 1 species
GCACAAGCGGUGGAGUAUGUGGUUUAAUUCGAUGCAACGCGAAGAACCUUACCUGGUCUUGACAUCCCGGAGACCCUUAGGAAACUAGGGGGUGCUUCCAUCUGGAAGAAUCUGGAGACAGGUGCUGCAUGGCUGUCGUCAGCUCGUGUCGUGAGAUGUUGGGUUAAGUCCCGCAACGAGCGCAACCCUUGCCUUUAGUUGCCAGCAGUUCGGCUGGGCACUCUAAAGGGACUGCCGGUGUUAAACCGGAGGAAGGUGGGGAUGACGUCAAGUCCUCAUGGCCUUUAUGACCAGGGCUACACACGUACUACAAUGGCCGAUACAAAGGGCAGCGACACUGCGAGGUGAAGCCAAUCCCGUAAAAUCGGUCUCAGUCCGGAUUGGAGUCUGCAACUCGACUCCAUGAAGUUGGAAUCGCUAGUAAUCGUGGAUCAGCAUGCCACGGUGAAUACGUUCCCGGGCCUG